GUGUCAGCCGCCGCGGUCAUACGGAGGAUCCAAGCGUUAUCCGGAAUUACUGGGCGUAAAGAGUUGCGUAGGCGGUUAAGUAAGUUGGUAGUGAAAGCGUGGGGCUCAACCUCAUAUCCAUUACCAAAACUACUUUGACUAGAGAAUGAGAGAGGUCGCUGGAAUUUCUUGUGUAGGAGUGAAAUCCGUAGAUAUAAGAAGAAACACCGAUGGCGUAGGCAGGCGACUGGCUCAUUUCUGACGCUAAGGCACGAAAGCGUGGGGAGCGACCGGGAUUAGAAACCCGUGUAGUCC
rnacentral:rRNA from 1 species